CUCACUCUAGCCUGUGGCUUUGCAUGUUAAAAUGCUUCCAGUGCUUCCAGUGAAACUCACCCAAAACCACAAGGGAUAAGAUAAGACUGGAAAAGAACUGAUCCACUGCGGUGUCUCCUCCUCCUCCUCAUCAUUAUGGCUCUGGGGUUUUCCUGACCUCUCUGUUUAUCCGGAUCAUCUCAAUUGCUUCACCAGAAACCUGUGAGAGGAUGUGAGGUCAGAAACAAUGUGUAGUGAUCAUUGGGCAGAAAAGCCACAAAAGACCAAAAAGUACAAAACAACAUGAUGAACAUCUGCUAGCUGAGCAGAAUGCAAAGCUGCAUCUUUGGCUCCGAGUUACUGGCAUCCUGGAGAGAUGUUAAAAGUCCAGAUUUCAGACCUUUCGGCCUGCUCCCUCUAGGAUGCCAGUUACAAAGAAAGCUUUACAGAGAGUGGAAGAGAAAAAAAACACAACUUGAUGAACAUGUGCAUAGACUAGGAGCAAUACAUGUUGUGUUCACACUACAUUCUCUUUACAUCUGCCUAGUGAUCAACACUGCUGUGCAAUUGUUUGAGGAUUUUCCACAUUUUCCUUUAUAGAUAAGCUGAAGUUACAGUCAAAACGACUGACUAUGCAAGACUGUAAUGACAAAGCUUUCCAGUAGUGCCAUGAGUCAGAGACAGACACUCAAAACAAAUGAAAUGCCUAAAAGCGGAAAUGACAAAUCACUCCUCUAAGUACGAUAUAUUUAUAGUCACUCAAAAAUACAAAAACGAACACAACACAUCUGCUUGAAGGGAAAAAAAAAAAUACAUAUUUAACUAAAAUUAAAAUUAAAAUAUAAUUAA